CACAAGCGGUGGAGCAUGUGGUUAAUUCGAAGCAACGCGAAGAACCUUACCAGGCCUUGACAUGCAGAGAACUUUCCAGAGAUGGAUUGGUGCCUUCGGGAACUCUGACACAGGUGCUGCAUGGCUGUCGUCAGCUCGUGUCGUGAGAUGUUGGGUUAAGUCCCGUAACGAGCGCAACCCUUGUCCUUAGUUACCAGCACGUUAUGGUGGGCACUCUAAGGAGACUGCCGGUGACAAACCGGAGGAAGGUGGGGAUGACGUCAAGUCAUCAUGGUCCUUACGGCCUGGGCUACACACGUGCUACAAUGGUCGGUACAAAGGGUUGCCAAGCCGCGAGGUGGAGCUAAUCCCAUAAAACCGAUCGUAGUCCGGAUCGCAGUCUGCAACUCGACUGCGUGAAGUCGGAAUCGCUAGUAAUCGUGAAUCAGAAUGUCACGGUGAAUACGUUCCCGGGCCUU
rnacentral:rRNA from 1 species